rnacentral:tRNA from 1 species
CUGACCUUAGUCUAGUUGGUUAUGGCGUCCGGCUGUAAUGGUAUCACCUUGUAAACCGGAAAGUCCCCAGUUCGAUUCUGGGAGGUCAGA